rnacentral:rRNA from 1 species
UACAGAGGGUGCAAGCGUUAAUCGGAGUUACUGGGCGUAAAGGGCGCGUAGGCGGUUGUUUAAGUCAGAUGUGAAAUCCCUGGGCUCAACCCAGGAACUGCAUUUGAAACUCCCUUUCUUGAGUGUCGGAGAGGAAAGUGGAAUUCCUGGUGUAGAGGUGAAAUUCGUAGAUAUCAGGAGGAACACCGGUGGCGAAGGCGACUUUCUGGACGACAACUGACGCUGAGACGCGAAAGCGUGGGGAGCAAACAGG